GUCUCGACCUGGGGUGGUAUUUGCUCUUGACUUCCACACUCUGCGGGCGCGCGGACAUUCGUCAGGUAUCGUGGGGGUACUCAUGAGCGGUGUUCCUGAGAACGGACUGCAACAAAGCCCCUGCAGGCCAAGGUGACACAUUCUCGGAGCACUUUCCUCAUGGAACCUCACCCGUAACAAGCAAGUUUCAAAGCAAGGGCCAACGAUAAAUGACGGACUUCCCCCACGUUCUUAUAGAAAAUGAUUGGCCUGGACUGUAUCCUGCAUUUCCUUUCCAGACCCUUCUCUGAGGCCUUUACUUUCAUGAUACCGUGAAGGUAUUUUCCAAAGGGAGUUCUGUCUCUGAGGAAUUCUGGCAAACAAGAGAUACAGAUGAGGAAACCAAGGCUCUAAGAAGUCUUAAAAUUUGCCCCCGGUGAAGCAGGUAGUAAGUGACAGCUCACGACUCAUUCCCUACAGCUGCGCUGUCCAAUACGGAAGCCAUUAGCCUUAUGUUGCUACUUAAAUUUAAA